AGUGUGUGUGUGUGUGUGUGUGUGCGCGUAGGUGUUGUCCUAAGCAGACACACUCACUAACCUUAUGCUUAUGUCUUCUAUGUCUGUACAAAAUCAGGAAUAAAAUGAAGCACCAAGAUUAUUAUCCAGCUUAAGCCCCAUGGCAGAAAAUUAAGAAAGGCUUCCAAAUUUUUGGUUAAUAGUGAUAUUGCUAAAACUCACCCCUGCAACUGGUAGGCUGGCCGCCCUUCCUCUGACUCAGCCUUGCUCCCCACUGCCCUUUCCCUGGAUUGAUUGAAGCCAUGUGAGAAAUGAACCCGUGCAACUUAGCCACUGAGAACCUACACAGAAGCAAAAGGGCGCCAGGAGAUGCUUGUUUCCUGAAGCUGGCAAAGUUCUUGUGCUUCUCUGGACAAUGACAGUAAUCAUAAGCAACCGGGGCUCCAGAAUGAAGAAGAGGGGUAACAGCUUAAGAGGCAAUGGAAGCAUGCUACAGAAGUGCCGUCAAGGGCGUUAUCAGCACCGGGCUGACUGUGCUUGCUGAAUGAGGCUGGACAACGCUAAAUUGUGCACAGAGUUCAUCGAUUAGCACAGAGAAAUCCCAACAAAAAGCUGGAUGUGGAUGUGGAUCUUGCCAUGGUUGUGUUCACAUGAAGUAUUAAAGUGUUGAAAUUUCCCUCUACACCGAAGAAGCAAUGGGGGAGACUGCUGAAAAUCCAACCUGUUUCCUUAGAUGGCGACUCAAUCUUUACUCUUCCUCUUCCCAGUCCAUCUCAUACAUGGAUUCCAGAAGCUCUUCCAGGAACAACUACUUUUAUUACAUUACCGCUCAACUUGCAAGUCCCAACAAAUGUGAGCUCAGGUCUAAACAUCCCAUCCUGGUAAUGAUGUUCCAGUCCGAUUGGGUGGGAAGGGCACUGGGCUUUGGGUCAGACACACUGACUUUGCAUCACAGCCUACCAUGUUCCCCCGGUGGGACCCUGAAUAAGCUGUCACCUGUGGAAAUCUCUCUGUCCUUAUUUGAUAAAAGGGUAAUGAAGACCGAAUCCCUAAAUUACAGAGCCUUUCUACCUGAAACAGCUCCCAGUGUCUGCAGAGUGAAAGAGAAUCAGCACGAUCAGACUGAGCUUCUUGAAAGCAGGAAUUGAAGAUCAUAUUUUCUGUUCUUUCACAGAACCUCAUGAUGUACUGUGCAAGGAAUUCAUGUUCAGUGAACCUUACUGAUUGGAUACAUACUCCCUCAACCUCUAAUAUUUCUUACCUAAUGCUGAGCAGUGUUUGCACCACACCUGUCAGAAUGGUCCUGAUGCUGAGGUGGUCCUGAAUCCAGAGGGAGAAUUGCUGUGAGGAUCUCUCCAAAGGUCCAGGACACCACCAGCAGAUCUGGGAAAGGGCCGAGUGUGCCCCAAAGGGCAUGGGUAGUGUGUCUGGGGAGGAGGAUGGCAAGGGAAAGUGCUGAGGACAGGGGCUCAUGGGGGUGGGGGAGGAGGUUGG